rnacentral:rRNA from 1 species
UACAGAGGGGGCAAGCGUUGUUCGGAAUUACUGGGCGUAAAGGGCGCGUAGGCGGCCUUCUAAGUCGAACGUGAAAUCCCCGGGCUCAACCCGGGAACUGCGUCCGAUACUGGAAGGCUUGAAUCCGGGAGAGGGAUGUAGAAUUCCAGGUGUAGCGGUGAAAUGCGUAGAUAUCUGGAGGAACACCGGUGGCGAAGGCGACAUCCUGGACCGGUAUUGACGCUGAGGCGCGAAAGCCAGGGGAGCAAACGGG